AAAUAGAUAAGUAAACCACAUUCACGAUUUAUGAAAUCAUAACUAGAGGAAAUCAAGUCAUAUAAAACAUAUGAUCAUGGCUUUGAAUUCCCCUCUAACUAUAAAGAAAUUAGUUCCUCAUGUUCGCAAAUAAACAAAGAUAAAUAAAUUUAAACAUUGACAUAAAGAUAGAAAACACCUAGAAACGCUCCAACAACCCAAGC
rnacentral:lncRNA from 1 species